GGGCUUGACAUCCCACGAACCUGCCCGAAAGGGUCGGGUGCCCGCAAGGGAGCGUGGAGACAGGUGGUGCAUGGCUGUCGUCAGCUCGUGUCGUGAGAUGUUGGGUUAAGUCCCGCAACGAGCGCAACCCUCACCCCUUGUUGCCACCGGGUAACGCCGAGCACUCUAGGGGAACUGCUAGCGUUAAGCUGGAGGAAGGCGAGGAUGACGUCAAGUCAUCAUGCCCCUUACGCCCUGGGCUACACACGUGCUACAAUGGGGCCGACAAAGAGACGCAAAGCCGCGAGGUGGAGCAAAACUCAAAAACGGCCUCUAAGUUCAGAUUGCAGUCUGCAACUCGGCUGCAUGAAGGAGGAAUCGCUAGUAAUCGCGCAUCAGCACGGCGCGGUGAACACGUUCCCGGGCCUUGUACACACCGCCCGUCACACCACGAAAGCCGGCUGUACUCGAAGUCGCUGAG
rnacentral:rRNA from 1 species